rnacentral:rRNA from 1 species
UACAGAGGUGGCGAGCGUUGUUCGGAUUGAUUGGGUGUAAAGGGUGCGUAGGCGGUUUGGUAAGUUGGGUGUGAAAUCCUAUGGCUUAACCAUAGAACUGCAUUCAAAACUACCAGACUAGAGUGCGAGAGAGGUGAAGGGAAUUCCCGGUGUAAGGGUGAAAUCUGUAGAGAUCGGGAGGAACACCAGUAGCGAAGGCGCUUCACUGGCUCGCAACUGACGCUGAUUGCACGAAAGCGUGGGGAGCAAACGGG